AGAGCGAACGCUGGCGGCAGGCCUAACACAUGCAAGUCGAACGGACCCUUCGGGGUUAGUGGCGGACGGGUGAGUAACACGUGGGAACGUGCCUUUAGGUUCGGAAUAGCUCCUGGAAACGGGUGGUAAUGCCGAAUGUGCCCUUCGGGGGAAAGAUUUAUCGCCUUUAGAGCGGCCCGCGUCUGAUUAGCUUGUUGGUGAGGUAAUGGCUCACCAAGGCUACGAUCAGUAGCUGGUCUGAGAGGAUGACCAGCCACAUUGGGACUGAGACACCGGACCCAAACUCCGUACGGGAGGCAGCGAGGUGGGAAUCUUGCGCAAGUGGGACGAACGCCUAGACGCACGCAUCGCCGCGUAGUAGUAGAGUAGGUAAGGUU
rnacentral:rRNA from 1 species